UACGAAGGGGGCUAGCGUUGCUCGGAAUUACUGGGCGUAAAGCGCACGUAGGCGGGUCGUUAAGUCGGGGGUGAAAUCCUGGAGCCCAACUCCAGAACUGCCCUCGAAACUGGCGAUCUUGAGUUCGGGAGAGGUGAGUGGAACUGCGAGUGUAGAGGUGAAAUUCGUAGAUAUUCGCAAGAACACCGGUGGCGAAGGCGGUGGUCUGGGCCGGCACUGACGCUGAGGAGCGAAAGCGUGGGUAGCAAACAGG
rnacentral:rRNA from 1 species